rnacentral:rRNA from 1 species
CCUACGGGAGGCAGCAGUGGGGAAUAUUGCGCAAUGGGGGAAACCCUGACGCAGCAACGCCGCGUGAGUGAGGAAGGACUUCGGUCUGUAAAGCUCUGUUAAUGAGGAAAAAAUGGUAGUUGGUCUAAUAGGCCGAUUAUUUGAUGGUACUCAUAGAGGAAGCACCGGCUAACUUCGUGCCAGCAGCCGCGGUAAUACGAAGGGUGCAAGCGUUGUUCGGAUUUAUUGGGCGUAAAGCGCGCGUAGGCGGACCUGCAAGUAAGAUGUGAAAUCUCGAGGCUCAACCUCGAAACUGCGUCUUAAACUACAGGUCUAGAAUCUCGGAGGGGGAAGGGGAAUUUCGCAUGUAGGGGUAAAAUCCGUAGAUAUGCGAAGGAACACCAGAGGCGAAGGCGCCUUCCUGGACGAGUAUUGACGCUGAGGCGCGAAAGCGUGGGGAUCAAACAGGAUUAGAUACCCUGGUAGUCCACGCUGUAAACGAUGAACACUAGGUAUUGGAGGAUUUGACCCCUUCAGUGCCGUAGCUAACGCGUUAAGNGUUCCGCCUGGGAAAGUACGGUCGCAAGCUAAACUUAAGGAAUUGACGGNUUGAGAGNGCGAGCGACGACGAGGAGAGG